GGCAGCCUACGGGGGGCAGCAGUGGGGAAUAUUGCACAAUGGGGGAAACCCUGAUGCAGCGACGCCGCGUGAGUGAAGAAGUAUUUCGGUAUGUAAAGCUCUAUCAGCAGGGAAGAAAAAAGACGGUACCUGACUAAGAAGCCCCGGCUAACUACGUGCCAGCAGCAGCGGUAAUACGUAGGGGGCAAGCGUUAUCCGGAUUUACUGGGUGUAAAGGGAGCGUAGACGGAGCGGCAAGUCUGAAGUGAAAGGCAGGGGCUUAACCCCUGAACUGGUUUUGAAACUGC
rnacentral:rRNA from 1 species